GUUUGAUGGAAAAUGUAAUAAAGAUAGGAAAUGGAAACUGACGAUUUUCUUCUGCAUGCCUGGAACAGUCUCUAGCACAGAAUGGUUUCCUAAAGCUUCUGUGGGCAUUCAGCAGUGCAGUAUUUUCUACUAUUAGGUGUCUUCCUAAUACCUCCUAUUGUUUUGAAGUCAGUCCUGUAAAAACAAAACCAUCCCACCUAUUACUUGCAGUUUGUAAAGUGAUCAGGUCAUGUUACUACUGGCUCCCAUAAUUUUAAGUGCCUGACAGAAAUGACGUGUUUUUGAGGCUCCUGACUGAUCCAAAGCCAAAUAUUCCAGUAAAUCGCAAUAAUCAGAAAUCCAUUAAGUGGAUGGACCAGUUGUGGCUUGUUUUCCCUUGCUUUUUACUAUUAAGUUUUUCAUCAGUAAGUAGGCAGACCUAUUCCACAUAAUAUUAUUAGCAUUUAUCAGAAAGCUAUCUGCUAUAGUGAGGCCAUCAGAAUCCCUGGUAAAUAUAUAUAAAGACCAAAACAAGCAACCUCAAUGAGACUAGGUUUGUAAAUUUAGCUUAUUUGCCUAACUUCUGGUCACUGUGACACUGGGCAGAUGGCUAGAUUUCUUCCAGUCUGAUUCGAUUACCUCUUGUUUUUGUCUCUUCUGCAACAGAGCACAUGAGAACCUAUACUGAGAUAGCUGGGAAGGACUAACAAUCAUUCUCAUCCUAACAAUCUCACCAAGUCUGACUGGAGGUUUUGCACUUGGGAGACCUGCUAGAACCUCUUCCGGGGCAAACACCAAACAACACAGCUCUAAGCACAGCUCCAGACCAAGGACGCACAGAUCAGCACUGUGCUUCACCUGCCCUACUUAUUUCUCCCUUUCUGCAAGACUAGUUAGUCCAGCACCUUGUUGCAACAAUACCUUUAAUUGCUCUAGUCACUGAACAAUGGUUUCAUUGACACUGGUAUCUCUGAGGUGAAUUUUGCUGUGUAAUCAUAAAUUCAGAGCUAGCCAGACUAUCUGUGCACUGGGAGAAUAAAUAAUACCAUGGCACAUUUUGGGACUUAGAG
rnacentral:lncRNA from 1 species